rnacentral:rRNA from 1 species
UGGGGAAUAUUGCACAAUGGAGGAAACUCUGAUGCAGCGACGCCGCGUGAGUGAAGAAGGUCUUCGGAUCGUAAAACUCUGUCCUUGGUGACGAAAAAAUGACGGUAGCCAAGGAGGAAGCCCCGGCUAACUACGUGCCAGCAGCCGCGGUAAUACGUAGGGGGCGAGCGUUGUCCGGAUUUACUGGGCGUAAAGGGUGAGUAGGCGGUAAUAUGUGUCAGAUGUAAAAGGCUAUCGCUUAACCAUAGUUGGCAUUUGAAACUGUAUUACUUGAGUGCAGGAGAGGUAAGUGGAAUUCCAAGUGUAGCGGUGAAAUGCGUAGAUAUUAGGAGGAACACCAGUGGCGAAGGCGACUUACUGGACUGUAACUGACGCUGAGUCACGAAAGCGUGGGUAGCAAACA